AUUCUAUGCAUUCACAUGAGUUAGAAAUAUUGCAUUUUUCAUGACUCCGUUAUCAAAUUGGUAACAUAAUCACGUGCAGGGAUUGCUAACUAUGUUCAUAUAUGUUUGUGUUGUAACUCUUGAUCCUCAAACAUUGGAUUGUUUUAUCCCUUGGUAAAACAAUGGAGUUGUAACUUCUAAGUAUAAUAAGAGUCAAAAUGAACAGGAAGUAAUUCACCAUAACAAUUUAUGCUAUAAUAUCUUAUAUUCUUCUCCACCCCUGCAUUCAGCUGUAAUUACUAGCAUAGUUCUACAUUGAAUUAUUUUAUCUCAGUAUAGUCAGUGGUUCAGAAAGUCUCUUCUCUAUUGCUGAGUUGUCUCUCAGUUCAGAUUGCGGUAAACAUCCUUAUGUUGUUCCUUUAUGUCUCAUGUGUUGUGGUUUUAAAUGAUAAAAUUGUGCAAGGAGGCUCUAGCUUUAUCUUUGUUGAUUUCAUUUAAUUGUUUUUAAUAUAUGCUGAUUCUUCAAACUCUCGAGCGGGCAAUUGGUGUUGAGUCUGAAAUUGAUUCCUCACUUGAGACCUGCUGAAUAUAAGAGAACCGGUAAUGCAGCAGAAGUGUUAUGUUCUAUAUUGGGCAAAAGGCAGAAAUAUACAUAAAGAGAGAGAACAGGUAAGCAGCAAAAGUUUAGCAUUCUAGCAGACUAAGAAGGCCAAGCCACAGGAGGAAAAACAAAUGUCCAAGUGCCCUAGAGUACAUUGAAAUUAUUUGCUAUCCAGCUUCAAUAGUUAGAUUUCAUGGAACAAUUAAUGACUAUUGUAAAUGUAUUUUGGUGGCUGUAAUAACAGAAUAUAUGUAUUUUUAAUGAGUGAAAUGACUUUUGAGGUUUUCAGAAUGAAUGAGAACAUCAAUGAAUGGCAGGAACAAACUUAUAUGUGUC